AGCUUUCUGUUUUGGAAACAGGAGGUGGCCAAGGCAGCAACAUUACUGACCCUGUGAUAGGUGGGGGCUGGGCUUACAGGCUGUCCUGCAUAUGCUGCUCAUGUGCCUGCGAUUCCCGUCAUCACCUGCCCUACCUCUGUUUUGGUUCAUGGAAUCGUGAUGGACAGACUGAUCAGGAACAAGUGUUCUCUCUCUAAACAGACAUGGGUAAGGGCAGUGGCUUUGUAGAGCUUUGACGAGCACAUUCAUUGGUUUCAAGCCAAGGCAUGUUUCUAGUGAAGCGGCACCCAGAGCCCCGGGGUUUGCUCUCUGACUGAAUUGUCCUCAGAAAGAUGAACUGACUGGGAUUGGGAGUUGUAACUGCAGAAUCUUCUCUGUGGAUGGGGGAAGACAUUGUGAGACACAGCGGUGGCUGGUGACGGAGAACUCCUCCAAUCUCAGAACUCCAGUUUACACACAGAAAUGCAGCAUAAAUCACCCUCAGGAGAAAGCAGAUGGAUGAGACCUUGAGAAAUCCAAGGAAAUGCAAUUAUCCACUCCCUCUACUCAGUGUUCAGUGCACUCCUCCAUGUGACCUGGCUCUGCAGAGAAGCACUGAGUCAAGUAUAAACACGGAGAUGAAACAGAUGGGACAGGUCCCUAAGAUGUGUGCAAAACUGUUCUGUUUCCUAAAAUCUUACCCUUGGGGACCAACAUCAUGGGCAACAACAGUUCUGCGCAAAGCACAUGUGCAUCAGAAUAUGGAGUUGAAGAAAAAUAGGCAUUUCGCUAUCUCUGGGCACUAG
ensembl:lncRNA